AACGUAGGUGGCGAGCGUUAUCCGGAUUUACUGGGCGUAAAGGGUGUGCAGGCGGGCUGUUAAGUGGUGUAUGAAAUCGCCCGGCUCAACCGGGCUAGGUUAUGCCAGACUGGCAGUCUAGAGAGCGAGAGAGGGACGUGGAAUUCCGGGUGUAGUGGUGAAAUGCGUAGAGAUCCCCAAGAACACCAGUUGCGAAGGCGGCCGACUGGACACAUAUUGACGCUGAGGCUCGAAAGCAUGGGGAGCAAACAGG
rnacentral:rRNA from 1 species